UACGUAGGGUGCAAGCGUUGUCCGGAAUUAUUGGGCGUAAAGAGCUCGUAGGCGGUCUGUCACGUCGGGAGUGAAAACCUGGGGCUUAACCCCGGGCCUGCUUUCGAUACGGGCAGACUAGAGUUCGGCAGGGGAGACUGGAAUUCCUGGUGUAGCGGUGGAAUGCGCAGAUAUCAGGAGGAACACCGGUGGCGAAGGCGGGUCUCUGGGCAGUAACUGACGCUGAGGAGCGAAAGCGUGGGGAGCGAACAGG
rnacentral:rRNA from 1 species